rnacentral:misc_RNA from 1 species
CUCGAGUUGUAAAUCUUUUGUUACUCUUCUGGUAAUGAUUGGGGCUAUUUCUUGUCAAGAAAUGCUCAAUUUAUCCACUUUUCUUUAUUUUGAUUGCUUGCUGACCUAGUGGAUUACUGCAAUUUAUAUAUAGGAAUUUGACUCCUUUUAAGCUAAAUGUCAAGCUUGUUGCCUUUGGUGCUACUGUAGGUAUAGAAUAGCUAAGGUAUAUUUUGCCCACUGGCCACUGUUGAUUUUUAAUCUUAACAUUGAUUUCUUUUAGGUGCGGAAAAAUAUGCUAUAGAAAAUUAGUAAUUUAUUUUGCUAAUAUAAUUUCUUGAUUUGAGAGGCAUUUCAAUUUUCAACCAAGAUUCACCUUUUGAGCUUUACUAAACUUUUAUUUUUGUUCUCAUGGUGACUGAUCAGCAUUAUGCAAUGGCUGGACUUAGGACAUGCUUGGUGGUACAGACACAAGAUCCCUCUGCUGAUUAUCUUCUGAACCGUAAAAUUGGAACUUCUCCUGUCAUCUGUAAUGACAACCUUUCGGCUAUUAGAUUGGAAACCACAAAAGUGUGUCAGUUUCACUUCCAUUUCCCUGUUUUAUAGGCAACUUCAAUGGUUUUUUGGAAAAGGAUUUGAAUUCAGUGUUGAGUGCUGUUGAUAUUUGCAGAUGCUUCUUGAGCCUCUUAAUCGACUAAAGCAAGCAGAUGCACAUCUUAAGUUGACCCAAGGUGUUCUCGAAGGGGUAGGUAGUUGGAGAAGAACUUGGUGUGCUUCCUGCAAUGGAUUCUAUUUUUGCAGCAUUGGUACUUGAGAGGCUCAUCGGAUUCUUAACGAAUGAAGCCCAGUAUAAAAUAGAGGAUAAAUUGGACAUAAUCGUAUAUGAUGGAAUCAGCAGUGAUGAAACUCUAAGAAUGAUUGGUGCAGCCAGUAAAGCGAGAUUGUACUUGAAAUAUAUGAGGAACUUGGCUGAGAAAACUGAUCUUGGGAGACUUGUGGGCCCUUCACUCAUGAGACUUGCUGAUGAAGCAAUGAAUUUGAGUGGCAGGGGGUUCAGGUUGAAUGGGAUAGCAAGUGCAGAAAUAUGGGACAUUUUGGAAAAGAUGUUGGAGGGGGGAUCCUCUGCUUUCUCUGAUCCUUGUAAAUUUGGCUGCUUCCUUGUAAUGAACCCAAAUAAUCCAACCUCAGUGAAUUCAGCAUUACGAUAUUGGGGCUGUACAAUCCAAGCUGGUGCACAGGUCUCUGGUGCAUUUGGAAUUGCUCCUCCACGUUUGAAUGAAGAAUCAAUGGGACAAAUCAAGAACAAAUUUUCACCCUUGCAUUUUGCUUUCAUUCCACAUUUCUCAAUGGGUUACCCACUAGAUUGGAAUUCAAUCAUGCUAAACACUGUUGGUCAUGAUGCAAGGGCUCUUUUCUCUUUGCCAGCAAGUCACAGUGAUAGCUUUACAUCACAUGUAAAGUUUGAUGCAGCUAAAAAGUCAAUAACCCUUUUUAUGCCAGGUUUUGACAAGACAGAGAUCAAGCUAUAUCAAUACAGGGGAGGGUCUGAGUUGCUGGUGGAAGCAGGAGACCAGAGACGUGUAAUUUGCUUGCCACCGAGAAUUCAAGGCAAGGUGGGAGGCGCAAAGUUCAUUGAUAGAAGUCUUGUAAUCACAAUGCGGUAGUGUAAAAGCAAUAUGAUUUAUUUGUGGUUCUUCUGAGAGGCUUAAUGUUGUAACUUGUAACUAUUGAAUAUGGAUUUCUGGGUUGUUAGCCGUUGGAAUGAACAUGCUCUCUGCUUCUUGUAGCUACACAUAAUUCUAGUUUUGCUUAGGGGAGCCUUGGAAUAUAUUUGGUAUAUUUAUCAUAUUAAUGACCAAAACGACAGGUGAUGUGAAUUUCCUUUGAAG